GAUGAACGCUGGCGGCGUGCCUAAUACAUGCAAGUCGAGCGAAGCGGGGAAGGGUGAGUAACACGUGGAUAACCUCCUAUAAGACUGGGAUAACUUAGGGAAACCGGAGCUAAAACGGAUACUUAUAUUUGGAUACGCGGGGCAUUAGCUAGUUGGUAAGGUAACGGCUUACCAUGGCAACGAUUCAUAGACGACCGGAGAGGGUGAUGGGCCAGACUGGGACUGAGACACGGUCCAGCCUCGUACGGGAGGCAGCAGUAGGGAAUCUGCCGCAAUGGGCUAAAGCCUGACGGAGCACCGCCGCGUGAGUGAUGAAGGUCUUCGGAUCGUAAAACUCUGUUAUUAGUGAAGCGGUACCUAAUCAGAAAGCCACGGCUAACUACGUGCCAGCAGCCGCGGUAAUAC
rnacentral:rRNA from 1 species